rnacentral:rRNA from 1 species
UAGUCCGCACAGUAAACUAUGAAUACUCGUUGUUUGCGAUAUACAGUAAGCGACUAAGCGAAAGCAUUAAGUAUUCCACCUGGGGAGUACGCCGGCAACGGUGAAACUCAAAGGAAUUGACGGGGGCCCGCACAAGCGGAGGAACAUGUGGUUUAAUUCGAUGAUACGCGAGAAACCUUACCUGGGCUUAAAUUGCAAAUGACAGGAGCUGAAAGGCUCCCUUCUUCGGACAUUUGUGA